UGUUAUCCACCACAAAUACCAUAAGUAAUACCACAAGUAAUACCAUGAGUAACACCAUGCUUUAACACAUAAAGCAUAGACUUCUAUACAACCAGAGGAGUCGCCCCCUGGUGGUCUGGAGAGGGAAUGCAGCUUUAACACAUGAAGCAUAUACUUCUAUACAACCAGAGGAGUGGCCCCGUCUCUCUUGGUGUAUUCGUGUCUUCAGGUAGACGAGCGGUUCUAUGAUGGAGGAGCUUCACGACGUCCAGUUGACGGAGACCCUCCCGCCAGGUGGAGGCGGUGCUGCUGACGGGGUUACCUGUGGUGCUGUUUGAGGACAGAUCAUUUGCUCGAUGCUCUCUGAUAACGAUGAACGGAUUUCUCUCCGUCUCUUCAGAACGGGAGGAAUCAGACUUCGACUCUAGAAGAAAAGGGGCACGACGUGAAGAAGGCUCACGCCAUGCUGCACAUCACCAUGAGGGGAGUUGCUAGGGGCAACCGUCCCACAAUCCUCACCUACCGCGACAUCGCACUAAACCGUGAGUUAACACCACGAGUCACCGGCCUGGGAUCACGACUAGUGUGUGUGUGUGUCUACAUGUGUGUGUGUCUCGGUUCACACACUAUCUGUUUAUAGUUUUGAACAUCCCAUAAUAACACACACACCUCCAACUCGUCUCCCCCUAGUGCCCACAGCUGGUAUGACCCGGCAGGUCCGCUCCAGGGCUCAGCCGACAGCGCCCCUCCCUCCUCCUCCCUCCUCGCCUCCUCCCUCCUCGCCUCCUCCUGCGUAGUUCUCUGGUCACAUUUCAGAUUUAAUGAUUCAAAUGAAGUCGAUCGUUCAUUUUCGAUGAAUCUCGAUUCAAAUCCAGAUUUCUUCAUCAGCUUCACGUCUUCCUCGGACCCUGUCGCUGUAUCGUUAUGUUUAUUACGCUCAUAUUCAGAUUAAAGAUAAACAUUAAUCUAGCGAUUCAAGAACUAAAGUGACUUUUCGUUAAUGUUAUAUUAAUAUUUCAUUAUAAUUAAUAAGUUGUCAUGAAGCGUGUUCGGGGUCGAAAUGUACUUUUAUUCUAUAUUACAUUUAUAAACACACUAAAUGUUACAGUUCUUAAUAUGUAAUACGUUGAGGUUUGUUGCUCCUUUGAAUGUAAACAAGGUUUGUAAUGAAAUAAAGAGAUGUGUCUGUU